ACGGGGAGCAGCAGGCGCGAAACCUUUACACUGCACGCCAGUGCGAUAAGGGGACCCCGAGUGCGAGGGCAUACAGUCCUCGCUUUUCGUGACCGUAAGGUGGUCACAGAAUAAGUGCUGGGCAAGACCGGUGCCAGCCGCCGCGGUAAUACCGGCAGCACGAGUGAUAGCCACUAUUAUUGGGCCUAAAGCGUCCGUAGCCGGCUACACAGGUCCGUCGGGAAAUCCACCCGCUCAACGGGUGGGCGUCCGGCGGAAACCAGGUAGCUUGGGGCCGAGAGACCAGAGGGGUACGUCCGGGGUAGGAGUGAAAUCCCGUAAUCCUGGACGGACCACCGGUUGCGAAAGCGCCUCUGGAGAACGGACCCGACGGUGAGGGACGAAAGCUUGGGUCUCGAACCGGAUUAGAUACCCGGGUAGUCCAAGCUGUAAACGAUGCUCGCUAGGUGUGGCACUGGCUACGAGCCAGUGCUGUGCCGUAGGGAAGCCGAGAAGCGAGCCGCCUGGGAAGUACGUCCGCAAGGAUGAAACUUAAAGGAAUUGGCGGGGGAGCAC
rnacentral:rRNA from 1 species